AGUACCAUUCAAAGAGCUAUGACAAUGACGCUGUUUAUAGCUCUGAAAAUGGCGCUGC
rnacentral:pre_miRNA from 1 species